ACUAACUAAAAACUAAAUGGGACGGGACUCCUGUCCUCUCGAUUGUCGCUCAGCACGGACAGACUAUAAGCCUGAUGGUCGUUCCCCAUCGGGCCUGAAGCCGCAAAUCGCCGGGCAACAAUCUUCGAGGGUAGCGCUGCUACCCUUUUUUUUCGGUAGUAGA
rfam:Salmonella enterica subsp. enterica serovar Newport str. S09097 S_Newport_S09097_mira454_rep_c2108, whole genome shotgun sequence.